UACGUAGGGGGGCAAGCGUUGUCCGGAAUUAUUGGGCGUAAAGAGCGCGUAGGCGGUCCGAUAAGUCGGCUGUGAAAGUCAGGGGCUCAACCCUUGGAAGCCGGCCGAUACUGUCGGACUAGAGUCCGGAAGAGGCGAGUGGAAUUCCCGGUGUAGCGGUGAAAUGCGCAGAUAUCGGGAGGAACACCAAUGGCGAAGGCAGCUCGCUGGGACGGUACUGACGCUGAGGCGCGAAAAGCGUGGGGGAGCAAACAGG
rnacentral:rRNA from 1 species